rnacentral:rRNA from 1 species
UACGAAGGGGGCUAGCGUUGUUCGGAAUUACUGGGCGUAAAGGGCGCGUAGGCUGUGCUGUAAGUCAGGCGUGAAAGCCCCGGGCUCAACCUGGGAAUUGCGCUUGAUACUGCGGCGCUGGAAGGUGGGAGAGGAUGGCGGAAUUCCCAGUGUAGAGGUGAAAUUCGUAGAGAUGUGGAGGAACACCGAUGGCGAAGGCAGCCCCCUGGGUCAAGAUUGACGCUCAUGCACGAAAGCGUGGGGAGCAAACAGG